rnacentral:rRNA from 1 species
CCUACGGGUGGCUGCAGUGGGGAAUAUUGCACAAUGGGCGCAAGCCUGAUGCAGCCAUGCCGCGUGUGUGAAGAAGGCCUUCGGGUUGUAAAGCACUUUCAGCGGGGAGGAAGGCGGUGAGGUUAAUAACCUCAUCGAUUGACGUUACCCGCAGAAGAAGCACCGGCUAACUCCGUGCCAGCAGCCGCGGUAAUACGGAGGGUGCAAGCGUUAAUCGGAAUUACUGGGCGUAAAGCGCACGCAGGCGGUCUGUCAAGUCGGAUGUGAAAUCCCCGGGCUCAACCGGGGAACUGCAUUCGAAACUGGCAGGCUAGAGUCUUGUAGAGGGGGGUAGAAUUCCAGGUGUAGCGGUGAAAUGCGUAGAGAUCUGGAGGAAUACCGGUGGCGAAGGCGGCCCCCUGGACAAAGACUGACGCUCAGGUGCGAAAGCGUGGGGAGCAAACAGGAUUAGAUACCCUUGUAGUC